UGCCGGACAGCCGACCUAGGGAAAGCUCGGCCGCUCCGACAUUCCUGUCUUCCGAGCCGAGUCUGCUCUCUCUCCCUGUCUCCUGCUCUCGUUGGGUUAAUCGCUUCAAGAGAUAAGGGAGGGACUGGCGACGCGGAUGAGGGUGGAGAUAAACAGGCAGUUAGGAAGUGGCUACAAGUCGGCGGCGGAAAAGGGCGGACGCACCUGCCUCCGGGGUCCUCGGGGAAGUCACGGGGGCGGUACCCCUUACUCGCUAGGUCUGGCCGGGUAACAGCUCCAUAAAAUCAGAGGAUGCAUCUUCUAUUCACCAAGUGUGUUACAGAAUGUUUGAUGCCUACUGAGCCUUCAGAUAAAUGCUGAAAGACUAAACCUUUCCAAGUUAAGUAUUGAGAUUAAACAUCCCCACAUUUCCUGUAUUCUGAGAUUCCUUUCUAGUAUGAAUUUCUGUGAUGGUGAAUAACAUUAACCCCAUUUAUUACUUAUUGCUUAGUUGCACCCAUGGACUCAUUGGUUAGUAAAUAAAAAACUAAAAUUAGGUUGAGAAGAAUCAAUAUGCCCUUUUAUUUUUUAAUAAAACCUUAAAAUAGUAUUUCAACAGUAUUCUGCAGUUCUCAGUAAAUGGAUCUUGCACAUCUUCUGUCAAAUUUAUCCCCAAGUAGUUAAUAGCAUGCUCCUUUGUAAAUAGCACUUUUAAAUCGAUAUUCAAUUUUGUGUGCGUGUGUCUACUAUAUAGAAAUAAAGUUGAUUUAUGUUUGUUGAUCAAUCAUGAGAAACACACUUAUUAGUUACAGCAGCAUUUUUUAAGGUAGAUUUCUUUGGAUUUUCUACAUGGAUGAUCAUGUCUGCAAAUCACAAUUUUAUUUCUUUCUUUCCAAUCUGCAUGCCAUUUAUUUGUUUUCUUGUCAUAUUGCACUGGCCAAGACCCAUCAGUAUAAUGUUGGAUAGAAGAAAUGAGAUCGGAUACCCUGUUUUGUUUCUGAUCUUAGGGGAAAAGCAUAAAGUUUUUCACUAAAUAUUGUGUUACCUUUAGGUUUUUUGCUAGAUGCCUUUUAUCAUGCUGAUGAAAUUCCUUUCUAGUCCUAGUUUGCUGAAGCCUUUUAUCAGAAUUCAGUAAUGGUUUUUCUUGCAUGCUUUUUCUGGGUCUGUUGAAGUGAUAAUAGGAUUUUUCGUUUUUAGAUUGUUAGUAUGGUGAGUUGCAUUGAUUGGCCUGUGUUACACAGGCCUGUUGCAUCCUGGGAUAAACUUUACUUGGACAUAAUAUAUUAUGCUGUUUGUAUAUUUUUGGACUUGAUUGGCUAAAAUUUUGUUUAGAAGUUUUACAUAUGUUCAUGAAGGAUACUAGUGUAUAAUUGUUUUGUGUGGUAUCUGCCUUGUUUAGGGAUCAGGUUAAUGCUGGUCUCACCAAAUGAGAAAUACUUUUUCUUUUUGAUUUUCUGGAAGACUUACAUUACUUUGAUAUAAAUUCUACUUUGUAGAAUUUACCAGUGAAGCCAUCUGAAAUUUCCACGUGUGAGGUCUAACAACCCUUUGUAUCAGGCCUAUCCAGCUUUGGAGGCUGCGUUCUGGAGAUCUUUGAACACAGCUGGACUCUCAGGAUUUUCUGUCAGCAACUUACAGUUCCUCAAUUCGUUCAAGCUUGCAUUCAACAAAUAGUUGAGGACCUAUGGUGAGGCAGUCGCUCGCCUCCUGUGAACAGGUACAUUCGAGGUUCACCAGACAACCAGUGCCCUCUAAGUUACCGCCACCUCCCCUAGGCCACUGGAAAGGAAGAGACCGCUGAUUGCCGUGACAACUAUCUAAAUUGAACCAGAAACAUGGAAGUCUUGUAUUUGAAUGUAAAGCUAUACCAGUUGACAAACCAUUUCACAAACCUGUCGAGCACUUUCCCAGGUGUUUUGGGGUUUACAAAGAUAAAAGACAGUGUCUCUGACCUUAACGAUCUGGCGGAUUUCAAAUUCUCUCACGAAGCCUAUCUAAUUUAAUCCUUGAGUUAAGACCAUUCUCCAUGGUGAGAGUAUGGGUGAUGGGACAUAUUCCUGUUUGCUGAGCAAACUGAAGCUCUGAAGGGCAACCCGAUUCACGUAGUAUCACAUCCAGUGAGGGGAAAUGCUAGAAGUACAUUCAAAGACUCCAUUUCAGUAAUCUUUAACAUGACUCUGCCCUGAUUUUGAGUCCAAGGGAUUCCUUCAGAAAAGAACUUAGAAGCGAUUUGGUCUAUCAGCCAACAUGUGGGAACAAUUGGAGUUUGGAGAACCUUUUUCUACACUGAUACGAUAGCGGAUGUUGUCCAACUUCACACCUUGCAAGUAUGGUGCUGCCUACGCAUUGCCUGAGAGGAUAUAAUCAUCACCACAGUAUGGAAGGAGAUCAUUCUUUGGAGUGGACAGUUCGCGAUUCAAACACCAACCCCUCACAGCUCAAAUAUGACAUUAAUUUCCACGUGCCUCCAUUUUCUGAGAAGUUCUGAUGACCUACUUCGUUGAACCGGUAGAAGAGGUGAGUGAGAUAGCUCACAUAAAACUAUGUCCCUGGGCCUGGCACCCUGACCCAGGGGAGGUGCUCCAGAAAUCUUAACCAUCACCGCGCCCCCACCCCCCACCGUCACCAAACACACACACACACACACACACACAAAAUGAACAAACAUUUAUUGAGUACUUAUUGCUAGGGAGUAGAGCUACAGAUAUAAAUAACAUCUAAUACCUUACUCUAAGAAUUGGCUUCUAUGCCACUUGGUGGGCGAGGAGAGACUUUGCUCCCCCUAAAGUCAUCCAUUUGGAGGGAGAAAAGGGAGACUGGGAGAUGGGGAAUGGGGAGCCAUCCUUCUCCACUGCUACCUCAAGAGGUCAGAGGAAAUGGGGCCAAAUUCCAUUUUGGAUUUCAUUCCCUCCGGCCGAGUGGUGGGCUCAUGGCUGGGAACAGGAUGUUGCUAAGAGAGCUGCAUCCAAAGGGAACUCUUAUUUCCUAUGUCUUUUGUUCCCUGACAUUUUCAAUUUCCAUCACGGGAGCCUUUGCCAGUCAUCUGCUUCGCCUUUAUCCCAAAAUCAAUUUCCUGGGAAGGUGCAAGAUGCUGUGAACAUCUGGCCCAAACGCUCAGGGCUGUCCUUCCCAAUUGGGUGUUCUUCAUGUGACGCAGUGGAGUGGCAGUGCUACCUCUGCCCUGGGACACAGUAAGACACCUGGGCCAGAGCGGCCUGGGUCUGCCCAGAUACCCUUCUCCUUCUCCAAAUACCAGGAGCAUAUUUCCUACUUCAAUUGCCGUUUUGACCUCAAAUAAAACUAACCUGACUUAUGGUAGAAAAAAAUGUGCUGAGAUUCACUGGGGCAUGGCUCUUCCUUUCCUCCAGAGAGUUUGGGCAGAGAGCUUCAAAUGGACCUCAGGAGGACUCUUUCCAAUUCACUGUGUGCCCCCAAAAGUAGUGGCACUAAUAAAACAUCAAAGAGUAAAUACUGGUUAGUGUGUGUGUGUGUGUGUGUGUGUGUGUGUGUGUGUGUGUGUGAGACAGAGACAGAGAGUCAGAGAAUUAACAGCUGUCAUGAUUGCCCUGUUUCAGAGUACAGGCAUUUUCACUUCAGAAAUUUCAAAAAGGACUCCAAAAUAAAUGUGAACACGUACACUCAGAGCAACCAAAUGUAUUUUCUCAGACUACAUGUCUCCUGAGGAAAAUGUGGAGCUUUUGCUUCUGGCCAGACUGGAACCUGUCCCCAUGCCCACCUCCCUCUGCCAAAGCUUUGAUCCUAAAGAAACACUUCAGGAUUCCAAACUCAAACCCACAAUAGCAGACCUUGUGGUGGAUGUAUUUCACAUUCAUGAUAUUCCUGAUUCACACCAACUCUCUCAAACCACACUCAGUGCGAGGUACAUACCACAUGUCCAUUCCGAUUUUCCCGAUCACCAGCCCCCACCGUGCCCUUCGUAAACUAUUUUUUUAAUCAAAUUUCCUCCACAUUCACCAUGGUUCAAGAGCUCCUAAAAUUUCACCUCUCCUCCAGACUAUUUCCCGCUUAGGCUGGAAGCGAGGUGGAAUUUUCUCCAGCUUCAGAGUUCCAAGAUGAAUACCAAGUUCCAAGGUUGAACACCUUCAACCAUGCUGCACACGACAACAGCAACACCGAUAAUAUUUUGGGUACUUAGACGGUCCUGAGGAUUUUAAAUCAACUUUGAAAAAGUCCAACUUGUGAUAUAUAAGAUCUCUAGAAACCUCAGAAUUUCCAUGCAUCUCUAUUUAUGAUACUGGUUCUCAAACUAUGCUUCCACAAAAUACCAUUUUUUCAGUUUCAGCCAAGGUGCUGUGCCAUUAAAUAUGAAAAAUAACAGUCUUUCCAAUUUUUCAGAAAAAUAAAUUUAAUGGAGUAUCUUUCAAUUCUAAGGUUUCCCACCACAUUAAAAAAAAAUGUUUGGUUACAGCUACUUGUUGCCUUUAUUGCUAUCUAAUAAAACCUGGUAUCAUAUUAUA